AAUGAUGAAGGUCUUAGGAUUGUAAAAUUCUUUCACCGGGGACGAUAAUGACGGUACCCGGAGAAGAAGCCCCGGCUAACUUCGUGCCAGCAGCCGCGGUAAUACGAAGGGGGCUAGCGUUGCUCGGAAUUACUGGGCGUAAAGGGAGCGUAGGCGGACUGUUUAGUCAGAGGUGAAAGCCCAGGGCUCAACCUUGGAAUUGCCUUUGAUACUGGCAGUCUUGAGUACGGAAGAGGUAUGUGGAACUCCGAGUGUAGAGGUGAAAUUCGUAGAUAUUCGGAAGAACACCAGUGGCGAAGGCGACAUACUGGUCCGUUACUGACGCUGAGGCUCGAAAGCGUGGGGAGCAAACAGGAUUAGAUACCCUGGUAGUCCACGCCGUAAACGAUGAGUGCUAGUUGUCGGCAUGCAUGCAUGUCGGUGACGCAGCUAACGCAUUAAGCACUCCGCCUGGGGAGU
rnacentral:rRNA from 1 species